UACGAAGGGGGCUAGCGUUGCUCGGAAUUACUGGGCGUAAAGGGCUCGUAGGCGGCCAACUAAGUCAUACGUGAAAUCCCUCAGCUUAACUGGGGAACUGCGUGUGAUACUGGAUGGCUUGGAUUUGGGAGAGGGAUGCGGAAUUCCAGGUGUAGCGGUGAAAUGCGUAGAGAUCUGGAGGAACACCGGUGGCGAAGGCGGCCCCCUGGUUCGAUACUGACGCUGAGGUGCGAAAGCGUGGGGAGCAAACAGG
rnacentral:rRNA from 1 species